UACAUGUGGGGCAAGCGUUGUUCGGAAUUACUGGGCAUAAAGGGUGCGUAGGCGGCUUGUUAAGUCAGGGGUGAAAGUUUUCGGCCCAACCGGAAAAUUGCCUUUGAUACUGGCGAGCUCGAGUGCGUGAGGGGUAACCGGAACGAGCAGUGUAGCGGUGAAAUGCGUAGAUAUCGGGAGGAACACCAGUGGCGAAGGCGGCCUUCUGGACCAGUACUGACGCUCAUGCACGAAAGCGUGGGGAGCAAACAGG
rnacentral:rRNA from 1 species